UAAAUGUAAACGUAAAGUUGGGGGACGUGGCAAACAGCAGCAGCUUAUUUGGAUUUAAAGUGACGAGACGCCCUAAAACAGCCCCAAAUAGGCAAAACAGAGCAGAUUAAAAUCUUAUCUGAAAAUGAUUUUGUGCAAAAUAUGUGAUGAACGCAUUUAUAAACCUAUCUUGACCUUGAAGGAAGCAUAAUAGAUCACCUUUAAACUAGAUUUUCCAGUUGAAAGAACCUCUAUACCGAAUGUUGGUGGUAAAUAGCAACAUUGGCCAAAUUAACUAUUAUAAUUGCCAAUAAUGUUCCCCACGGCGAAUCCUUUAUCCUUCAGACAACUUUUCAUCUCAAAAAGUCUCAAAAACCUACAUUUGGAUAAUAUUUGUAUAUUUGUGUGGAAGUUCAGAUUAAAUUGUUACCAUUUCUGUUGUAUUUUCUUAAUUUCUGUUUUACUUCCUCUUUUUCUAGUACAACAUAAACGAAAGAUGGAUCUUUCUGGACCUGAGCCAAAGAGGUUCUGCUCUCAGUUUGCUCCGGUUGCUGCCGGUGUCAGAUGCCCUCCUCAUCAACCUCAGAGACCUCUGUGAAGAGUUUCAAGACGCUCACACAUGAAGCUCUGAACGGCCUUUCUUUCUGAUUGACAACCUUUUUUGGAGAAUUUUAAUCUGUUUUGAGGUUUAGGACGUAACUAGGGCAGCAGAUACAGUUUAUGCUUUUUAAAAAUCUUUUACACUGGAUGCUGUUUAUUAAGUGUUGUACAAUUGUUUUUUAAAGUCUACUUUUAUAUUUACAUUUUUUCAAGAUCAGCACCUUGUUGCAGAUGGAUCAACGUUAUCUAUACUUACCUUUCUGGAAAGUAAAAGUUAUAUAUUUUUAAUCAUAUGUUUAAUCAUUAAUGCAAGGAUGUAUGAAUACAUGGUUACUCGGGUAAACUUUUUUUAUCAGGAUGCUCUAGUGUGCUAAAUCUUUAGCAUGUGUGGGAUUUUUACUUAUGUCAAAUGUUUAAAAUGAAAGUCUUUUCCCUGUUUCUUUUUUUAAUUAAAAGAUACUUGAUAGAAAAAA